rnacentral:pre_miRNA from 1 species
UGCAAGAAGUUGUACGGACACAAGUGCUUCAUCAGGUGUUUGGGAUUCGACAACACCAGGCA